GGGAAAUAAAUCCCCCUCAGUGA
rnacentral:tRNA from 1 species